UCGGCUGCCGGGCUGGGACAGAGCACCCGGACCCGCCGCGGCAGCGGCAGCGGCACUACCAACCCUCCGCCACAACACCCACCGAACCAGCGAGCCACCGAGCCAUCGGCCCCCGGGACGCCGAAAGGAGCCUGUGUAUGUCCUGCGGCCGCCCUGUGACUCUGGAUCUUGUCUUCUGGCCGGCGCUUCGAUUCCUGCCCAGCUGGAUUUGAGGGGCAGCAGUGCCUGGCGCAGGGAGGAGAGCAAAUGAGACUACAAAGAAGCAUAAAAUGAAUAGACAGUUCAACCAGCCAAAGACCGGGGGCAGCAGCACGCCAGCAAGACGGCAUCUUCUCCUCCCCAGCCUAGAAGCCCUGUGAAAUCGAGGAUCUUCCCCCUAAAACACACACACACAAGAUAUGUGCAAUCAAGCUGCCACCGCUUGGUAAAAAGCUCAUGGUGCCUAACCCAAAAGGAUCGGGAGCAGAUCCUUGAAUCAGCUGUCACUUCUUCUAUAGAAUGGGAUGGUUUUUUUCCUUCCUCCUUAACCUGCGCUGGAAAUUGCCGUUGGCUUUAUACGUCUCUAUAGAGGGAGGCUAAAGAGUCUUGCGUGAGAAUGAAGCAAUUUACAAUGCAAAUAGAGGCCUGUGAAGGGACGGAUGCUGCUGCUCACUCGUAACCGCUUGCUGCACCUUAAUAGCUGGUUUUAUUUUCUGAUAUUAAUAGAUGAAUUGUUGGCUAACGCUGCCGGAGAUUACUUGCUGAAAGGAAAAAAAAGUUCGGAAUAAACUUUGAAAGCAACAGAUCUCGUUUGGAUGU
rnacentral:lncRNA from 1 species